rnacentral:rRNA from 1 species
AUUGAGAGCUGGCGGCAGGCCUAACACAUGCAAGUCGAACGAGUGGCAUGCGGGUGAGUAAUGUCUGGGAAACUGCCUGCUGGAGGGGGAUCACUACUGGCAGCGGUAGCUCAUACAGCGUCCCCUCGGCUGUACCCAGAUGGGAUUAGCUUGUUGGUGGGGUAACGGCUCACGAAUGCGGCGAUCCCUAGCUGGUCUGAGCGGAUGACCAGCAACACUGGAACUGAGACACGUUCCAGACGUCGACGGGUGGCAGCAUUGGGGAAGAUGGCAAAAUGGGCGGAAGCCUGAGGCAGCCAUGCCGCGUGUAUGAAGAAGGCCUGCGGGUUGUAAAGUACUUUCAGCGGGGAGGCGUUACCCGCAGAAGAAGCACCGGCUAACACCGGGCUAGCAGCCGCGGUAAUAC